rnacentral:lncRNA from 1 species
GCCAUCAAUAGAAUUCUCACAACUUUCCAGCACAGAAACACUUGAUUUUGUGCUAUCAGAAGGUGGAGAACCCCUGACAUCAUCUGUGGUUUCAACUUCACAGGUUCCCAUAGAAAGUGAAGCAGCAUCGGUAACCAUCGAGAAAGGUGGAUUGCUAUCUUCUAUAGGGUAAGGCACCUCAGCUUGAGAGAAACUCACAUCAUCUGAACUCGAAGAAAUACUAGUGUCAUAAGAUUCACUACUUCGAUGCUCUAAUGAAUUCUCCUGUAAAGACAUUUCAGACAAUUCUGGGGCAUCUGAAGUCGGUGUAUUGGAAUUGUCACUGUCAACAUCAAUUUUAUUGGCUUCAUUGUAAUCAUCUUCGAGACCUGAGAAAGAGGACUUCCACUUUUUCCCCCUCCACAUAAGUAUGUGUUCAUUCUCAAAUGAGAGCAAUAUGCAUGGAACAAGAUCCUACAGUCAAGAAACAAAAUUGGAAGAAAAAUGUUACUUAUUAUCCUAUAUCACCAACGAAAAAAGGGCAAAAAAAAAAAAAUCUUCAAUGUUGUUUGCAAGAUAUAGGAGAAAAUGGCUAUACCCUUAGUUUUCCUCCAAUCCUUCGAUAAUCACUUUCAUUUAGUCCUUGACAAUUUAUUCGCACUAGUUCACACUCUUCAAAAGCCUCUCUGACAUUUGCUACAAGGUCACAGUAAACACCAUUUUUUGCUGUAUAUAAAGAUAGAAGUUAGUCUCACAUGGUCAGCAAAAAAAGAGCAAAAACUUGCUUUCUUGUUAAAUUGUAAUGAAAAUCUGAAAGAUUCUACCUAGCUUGAAUAUCGGUUCCAAGUUCCUUCCCUUCCGACGAAAUUCAGUUGCUUCUUCUAGUGUUAGGCCUUCUGGAACUCGCUUAACCAACCUAGGAUAUACUGGAGAUACAGGUUUCCACAGCAUCAGAGGAAAACGUUGGCGUGUUCUAUAGUUGUAGUUUCUGCCCCGGAAGAGGUAUACCGUACCACUUUUCCUAUGAAUGAUUUUUCCCCCAGUCCUUUCCUACGAAACCAGACAAAGACCAUAAGUAAUGAAAAACAAUUAAUUUCUUUAUUGAGGAAUGUCAGAGGACAUGGUCAACUCAGAAAAGUAAGAUCAGCGAAGGCAUCGUAAAGAAAAGAAAAACAAAAGUUAAAAAUUUAUAUCCUUGAGAGAAGCCAAAGAAAAUGUCAUCGGAAACCGUAGCCCCCCACCCCAAAACAAAAGAUGCAUGAACUAUAUUCUCCUUUACCAUUUAAAUUGCAUAGCAGGAUGAACAAAUAAACGAAUGUUUUAACCCAAAAGCAAAUACACAUCGACCACACAAGAUGAGGUUUUACUUCCAAAACACAAGCACAGAUUUGAGGUCAUUAUGAAUUGAUAUCAGUGAAAAGUGGGACAGUUGAGAGCAGAAAAAACCAACCUCUAACUGUUGGCACACAUUAUCCAUGUCUCCCAUAGAAAGUGAAGCAGCAUCGGUAACCAUCGAGAAAGGUGGAUUGCUAUCUUCUAUAGGGUAAGGCACCUCAGCUUGAGAGAAACUCACAUCAUCUGAACUCGAAGAAAUACUAGUGUCAUAAGAUUCACUGCUUAGAUGCUCUAAUGAAUUCUCCUGUGGCAUUUCAGACAAUUCUGG